GCGAGAAAACUUUGCAAUGUGCGAAAGCACGACAAGGUUAAUCCGAGUGGCCUCCGCUGAGGGGGCCUUUUGACAGUCCUAAAAGCACUGUAGAAUAAGGGGUGGGCAAGUUCUGGUGUCAGCCGCCGCGGUAAAACCAGCACCUCAAGUGGUCAGGAUGAUUAUUGGGCCUAAAGCAUCCGUAGCCGGAUCCAUAAGUUUUCGGUUAAAUCUAUGCGCUUAACGCAUGGGCUGCCGAAAAUACUGUGGAUCUAGGGAGUGGGAGAGGUAGACGGUACUCGGUAGGAAGAGGUAAAAUUCAUUGAUCUAUCGAUGACCACCUGUGGCGAAGGCGGUCUACCAGAACACGUUCGACGGUGAGGGAUGAAAGCUGGGGGAGCAAACCGG
rnacentral:rRNA from 2 species